rnacentral:rRNA from 1 species
GAUGAACGCUGGCGGCGUGCUUAACACAUGCAAGUCGAACGGGAAACCUUUUAAUGAAGCUUCGGCAGAUUUAGCUGGUUUCUAGUGGCGGACGGGUGAGUAACGCGUGGGUAACCUGCCUUAUACAGGGGGAUAACAGUCAGAAAUGACUGCUAAUACCGCAUAAGCGCACAGGACCGCAUGGUCCGGUGUGAAAAACUCCGGUGGUAUAAGAUGGACCCGCGUUGGAUUAGCUUGUUGGUGGGGUAACGGCUCACCAAGGCGACGAUCCAUAGCCGGCCUGAGAGGGUGAACGGCCACAUUGGGACUGGGACACGGCCCAGACUCCUACGGGAGGCAGCAGUGGGGAAUAUUGCACAAUGGGGGAAACACUGAUGCAGCGACGCCGCGUGAAGGAAGAAGUAUCUCGGUAUGUAAACUUCUAUCAGCAGGGAAGAUAGGGACGGUACCUGACUAAGAAGCCCCGGCUAACUACGU